GGCUAACGCUGGCGGCGUGUCUUAGCCAUGCAAGUCGAGCGGACUUAUGGGGUAACUUAUAAGUCAGCGGCGGACGGCGGAGUAACACGUAGCUAACCUACCCUCUGGACGGGGAUAACCUACCGAAAGGUGGGCUAAUACCCGAUGUAGUCAUCCUGUAUAGGGGUGAUGAAAGGUGGGCUUCUGUUUACAAGCUCAUGCUGGAGGAGGGGGCUGCGGCCUAUCAGGUAGUUGGUAGGGUAAUAGCCUACCAAGCCGAUGACGGGUAGCCGGCCUGAGAGGGUGACCGGCCCGAGGGGCACUGAGAUACGGGUCCCACUCCUACGGGAGGCAGCAGGCUAGAAAUUUGGGCAAUGGGGGAAACCCUGACCCAGUGACGCCGCGUGCAGGAAGGAGCCCUUCGGGGUGUAAACUCCUUUUCUCAGGGAAAAAGGAUGAUGGUACCUGAGGAAUAAGCCCGGCUAACUACGUG
rnacentral:rRNA from 1 species